AACAAACGCUGGCGGCGUGCCUAAUACAUGCAAGUCGAACGAGGAAAGUAGCAAUAUGAGUACUAGUGGCGCACGGGUGAGGAAUACAUGGGUAAUCUGCCUUCAAGUUGGGGAUAACCAGUCGAAAGACUGGCUAAUACCGAAUAAGACCACAAUCUCUGCGGAGCUAGGGGUUAAAGGUUUUUCGCUUGAAGAUGAGCCCAUGCGAGAUUAGCUAGUUGGUGAGGUAAUGGCUCACCAAGGCGACGAUCUCUAACUGGUCUUAGAGGAUGAUCAGUCACACUGGAACUGAGACACGGUCCAGACUCCUACGGGAGGCAGCAGUAGGGAAUAUUGCGCAAUGGGGGAAACCCUGACGCAGCGACGCCGCGUGAGUGAUGAAGGCCUUCGGGUCGUAAAGCUCUGUCGCAUGGGAAUAACACAAUGAAGGUACCAUGCAAGAAAGGAUCGGCUAACUUCGUGCCAGCAGCCGCCGUAA
rnacentral:rRNA from 1 species